rnacentral:rRNA from 1 species
AUACGGAGGGUGCAAGCGUUAAUCGGAAUUACUGGGCGUAAAGCGCACGUAGGCGGUAAGUUAAGUCAGAUGUGAAAGCCCCGGGCUCAACCUGGGAACUGCAUUUGAAACUGGCUUACUCGAGUUUGGUAGAGGAAAGUGGAAUUCCGGGUGUAGCGGUGAAAUGCGUAGAUAUCCGGAGGAACACCAGUGGCGAAGGCGACUUUCUGGACCAAAACUGACGCUGAGGUGCGAAAGCGUGGGUAGC